rnacentral:lncRNA from 1 species
CAUUGGUUCAGAUUUCAGGGCCGUUUGUAUUGUGGUGGUUUCUUUAUGUUCAAGGUUAUCCACACCAGGCAGAGGACAAACUCCACUCCUGGCCUUCCUGCCCAGCUAGAUUUAAGGAUUGUAACCAGGACAGUGAGUCCCUUCUGGGAAAGGGGCCUCGUGGAGGUUAUGAAAUCCAGCAGGUCAUGGAAGGAGAAACGAUUGACAAUCCAGACGGGAUGGAGGCAGGAGUUGGCUCAGUAACCCCAUCUUUCCUAUCCACCAGCACUCCCCUGCGCUUCCCAAGUGAUUUAAUUAUCCAUUCUUUAACUGCAACUCGGUUAGCCCUGAAAUUUGGGUGAAGAGAAAUCAGACACAGGCAUCAGCACUCCUGGUUUGGGGGACUUAGGAUUCAGACUGGGACCUAUGCCAUUGGUUUCCCUGGUUCUCAGGCCUCUGGGCUUCAUUGGACUGGAACUAUACUACCAGUUUUCCUGGGUCUUCAGCUUGCAGAUGGCAGAUUGUGGAACUUCUCAGUCUUCAUAAUUGUGUGAGCCAAUCCCCCAUAAUAAAUCUCUUUCUCUAUAUCUACACAUUUCCUAUUGGUUCUGUUUCUCUGGAGAACCCUGAGUAAUACAGCCUAUAAUAGACCAAGCGC